rnacentral:rRNA from 1 species
GCGGUAUGCUUAACACAUGCAAGUCGAACGAAGCCUUCGGGUUUAGUGGCGGACGGGUGAGUAACGCGUGAGAACCUACCUUCAGGAUGGGGACAACAGAUGGAAACGUCUGCUAAUACCCAAUGAGCCGAGAGGUAAAAGAUUAAUUGUCUGAAGAAGGGCUCGCGUCGGAUUAGCUAGUUGGGGUGGUAACGGCACACCAAGGCGACGAUCCGUAGCUGGUCUGAGAGGAUGAUCAGCCACACUGGGACUGAGACACGGCCCAGACUCCUACGGGAGGCAGCAGUGGGGAAUUUUCCGCAAUGGGCGAAAGCCUGACGGAGCAAGACCGCGUGGGGGAAGAAGGCUCUUGGGUUGUAAACCCCUUUUCUCUGGGAAGAACGCAAUGACGGUACCAGAGGAAUCAGCAUCGGCUAACUCCGUGCCAGCAGCCGCGGUAAUACGGGGGAUGCAAGCGUUAUCCGGAAUUAUUGGGCGUAAAGCGUCCGCAGGUGGUUUUUCAAGUCUGCUGUUAAAGCGCAGAGCUUAACUCUGUAACGGCGGUGGAAACUGAGAGACUAGAGUAUGGUAGGGGUUGCGGGAAUUCCCAGUGUAGCGGUGAAAUGCGUAGAUAUUGGGAAGAACACCAGCGGCGAAAGCGCGCAACUGGGCCAUUACUGACACUCAUGGACGAAAGCUAGGGGAGCGAAAGGGAUUAGAUACCCCUGUAGUCCUAGCUGUAA